CCUGACUGCUAUCGGAUUGAUACUAAGCCAUGCGAGUCAUUGUAGCAAUACAAGGCAGACGGCUCAGUAACGCGUAGUCAACCUACCCUAUGGACGGGAAUAACCUCGGGAAACUGAGUAUAAUGCCCGAUAGAACAUUAUACCUGGAAUGGUUUAUGUUCCAAAUGAUUUAUCGCCGUAGGAUGGGACUGCGGCCUAUCAGUUUGUUGGUGAGGUAAUGGCCCACCAAGACUAUUACAGGUACGGGCUCUGAGAGGAGUGGCCCGGAGAUGGGUACUGAGACACGGACCCAGGCCCUAUGGGGCGCAGCAGGCGAGAAAACUUUGCAAUGUGCGAAAGCACGACAAGGUUAAUCCGAGUGGUUUCUGCUAAAGGAACCUUUUGUUAGUCCUAAAAACACUAACGAAUAAGGGGUGGGCAAGUUCUGGUGUCAGCCGCCGCGGUAAAACCAGCACCUCAAGUGGUCAGGAUGAUUAUUGGGCCUAAAGCAUCCGUAGCCGGCUCUGUUAGUUUUCGGUUAAAUCCAUAUGCUCAACAUAUGGGCCGCCGGGAAUACUACAAAGCUAGGGAGUGGGAGAGGUAGACGGUACUCCGUAGGAAGGGGUAAAAUCCUUUGAUCUAUGGAUGACCACCAGUGGCGAAGGCGGUCUACCAGAACACGUUCGACGGUGAGGGAUGAAAGCUGGGGGAGCAAACCGGAUUAGAUACCCGGGUAGUCCCAGCUGUAAACUAUGCAAACUCAGUGAUGCAUUGGCUUGUGGCCAGUGCAGUGCCGCAGAGAAGUCGUUAAGUUUGCCGCCUGGGAAGUACGUACGCAAGUAUGAAACUUAAAGGAAUUGGCGGGGGAGCACCACAAGGGGUGAAGCCUGCGGUUC
rnacentral:rRNA from 1 species